AUGUUCCGCUUCAUGAGGGACGUGGAGCCCGAGGAUCCCAUGUUCCUGAUGGACCCCUUCGCCAUUCACCGCCAGCACAUGAGUCGGAUGUUGCCCGGGGGCUUCGGAUACAGCCCUUUUCUCAGCGUCACAGAUGGCAACGUGCCAGGGAGCAGGCCUGCCAGCCGCAGGGUGCAGGCUGGGGCUGUCUCCCCCUUCGGAAUGUUGGGAAUGUCUGGCGGCUUCAUGGACAUGUUUGGAAUGAUGAAUGACAUGACUGGGAACAUGGAGCACAUGACGGCUGGCGGCAACUGCCAGACCUUCUCGUCCUCCACGGUCAUUUCCUACUCCAACACGGGGGACGGUGCCCCCAAGAUCUAUCAAGAGACCUCGGAGAUGCGCUCAGCGCCAGGCGGGAUCCGGGAGACGCGGAGGACUGUCCGGGACUCUGACAGUGGACUCGAGCAGAUGUCCAUCGGCCAUCACAUCCGGGACAGGGCUCACAUCCUGCAGCGCUCCCGGACCACCGCACAGGCGACCAGGAGGAGCGGCAGGACUACACAUCAACUUGGAUGAGAGUCAGGCCGCGGCAUUCGAUGACGAGUGGCGGCGGGAAACAUCCCGGUUCCGGCAGCAGCGUCCUCUGGAGUUUCGGCGGCAUGAGGCCUCAGCAGGUGGGGGCCGCCGGGCUGAGGGGCCUCCCCGCCUGGCCAUCCAGGGAUCUGAGGACUCCCCCUCCUGACAGUCCCGUCGCUAUGACUGGUGAGGGGCCCACGUCCCCAGCCUCUCUUGUACAGGCCUAAAGGCUGUGACACCAUCCUCAAAGGCCACUUUUCCUCUCCAAUGCCCACCCCCAGUUUAAUAUUAAAUUAACAGGCAAGCUGGCCCCACCUUCCCUGGGGGUCUCAGGGAGAACCUUUCAUGGCCCCCUCAACGGCUGAGCCCCUGGCCACGCCCACGCCACCUGUCCUGGAUCCACUAACUUGACUCUUCAGGUUGCUGCUCCGUCUUGGAACCGCCUCACCUUCCCACCCCUCUCCCCUUUGCUGUGCAUCGGAGGGUCUUUGAAGGGGAGCU